AGUGAACGCUGGCGGUAGGCCUAACACAUGCAAGUCGAACGGCAGCACAGUAAGAGCUUGCUCUUACGGGUGGCGAGUGGCGGACGGGUGAGGAAUACAUCGGAAUCUACUUUUUCGUGGGGGAUAACGUAGGGAAACUUACGCUAAUACCGCAUACGACCUACGGGUGAAAGCAGGGGAUCUUCGGACCUUGCGCGAGUGAAUGAGUCGAUGUCGGAUUAGCUAGUUGGCGGGGUAAAGGCCCACCAAGGCGACGAUCCGUAGCUGGUCUGAGAGGAUGAUCAGCCACACUGGAACUGAGACACGGUCCAGACUCCUACGGGAGGCAGCAGUGGGGAAUAUUGGACAAUGGGCGCAAGCCUGAUCCAGCCAUACCGCGUGGGUGAAGAAGGCCUUCGGGCUGUAAAGCCCUUUUGUUGGGAAAGAAAAGCAGCAGGUUAAUACCCCGCUGUUCUGACGGUACCCAAGGAAUAAGCACCGGCUAACUUCGUG
rnacentral:rRNA from 1 species